UUUUUUUUUUUUUUUUUUUUUUACUUUAGUACUAUAUAGUUUGAAGUGUUUGAAUUUAGUACUUUGUGAUUUUAUUUUUUUAUUAUUCCUUUCAUUAUUUUUUUUGUUAAAUUAAUGACAAAGUUAAAACCAAGAAGUACUAAAGUGAAUGUUCCAUAAACUAGAUGGGUAUCUAAAGUUUUUUUUAUAUAAUUUAACGAAAUGUUAACGGAGGAGCUGAUGAGAAAAGAAAAAUAAGAUCAGAAGGUACUAAAUUGAUACAUUUCAAACUACAAGAUAUUAAAGUAAGAAAAUGCGAAACUAUAUAGAUGGUAUUUGAAAUUUUUGCUAUAAUUUAAUAUAGUAUUAAAGUA
rnacentral:lncRNA from 1 species